rnacentral:lncRNA from 1 species
UUUUAAGCUGGCAAAAAGCAUUAUAAAGGGGCAGGAGAAAAAAGGAAAAGACUUGCAGACUGAAAUCUAAAGGACACUUGAUGCUUCCCAGUCCUGUUUCUUGCACUAACAAUGAAUGAAUGAAUCACAAAAAUCCUAGAACUUUAUGCGUUUUCAAGAAGUUGCCUGAAGAAGGAACUUCCUUGUGCGGUACGCCUCAGGAAAAAAGAAGCAGGAGAAAAGCUUUGAGAGGAGAGCAAGUGACGGGCACGUCCCUUGUUGGCUGCUGCGUGAGCGAAGUAACUAUUUUCCAGCGAGUGUCCUCAUGUGACCUGUCUAGACGUGCCCAGGAAAAACAAUCCAACAUCCUCCUAAGCCGCAAAGAAGUCCCUGACGCGCAGGCCGCACUGCGUGGAAGGCCCAAAGCGCGCUCGCGGGCCCGCGAAAGGCGCAGGAGCAGCGGAGCCGAGGCGGGCGGCG